CAUGGUGGCAGUAAAUGAAUAAACAUUGAAAGGGUCCACAUCAUCAUCAAAAUCUAGGACAAGGAGGAAGAAAGCUUUUUACCAAAAGGACAACAGGUCCGGGAGGCCACCACCACUUGCUCCUGCUGCUGGUCCAUCUUCGUUGUCAUCAAAGAAAGGGGGAUUAUUGAGAUCAAAUGACAUGGCUCUCAGCAAGAUACGAGAUGGAGUGAGGAAAAAAGAGAUGAAGUGGUCUUAUUU